rnacentral:rRNA from 1 species
GCUUACGGCCAUAUCACGUUCAAAGCACCGGUUCUCCUUCGAUCACCGAAGUUAAGCAACAUCGAGCCUAGUUAGUACUUAGAUGGGUGAUCGCUUGGGAAACCUAGGUGCUGUUAGCA